UCCAUUUGCUCCCGUGUAGUACGCUGGCUCGCCAUGAUUUAUCAGGGAGCAAAGCACCCCGGCCAUCUCUCUCUCUCUCUAUCUCUAUCUCUCUCUCUGUGUGAUGUCAACCUCGGUUGCCUUUUAUUUUCAGAUCUGCAAUGGCCUGAAGAAUGAGGCAAUCCUUGGAAGCAGCACGUACAUGUGAUCCCCCUCUCACUCUAAUUCCAAGGUUAUGUUGCUGAUGGUAGGUGUCACUCUGGAUUGUAGAAAACAUGAUAAGAGCAUGGAGAUGGACUGCUGCAUAUAUAUGCUGCCGACACUACCAUUUUCUUGAUCAUAAAACAUGAUAAGAGCAUGGAUGGAUUGCUGCAAAUUCAUGUUGUUGUUGCGGGAUCAUGUCGGCCCUCCCUUGUGCUAGCCAGCCAUCAGGAGCGACUGCAUUUGGUUCAUGCGGACGCGGCUGUGGCUUCCUGUGGUGCUCCUCUCGUGUCGCCUC